GGCAACGUGGCGGAGUGGUUAUCGCGCUAGCCUAGAACUAAUUGGUUGUCAAGCUAGUUCCUUCGGGAGCGUCAGUUCGAGUCUGGCCGUUGUCG
rnacentral:tRNA from 2 species